rnacentral:rRNA from 1 species
CCUACGGGGGGCUGCAGUGGGGAAUAUUGGACAAUGGGGGGAACCCUGAUCCAGCCAUGCCGCGUGUGUGAAGAAGGCCCUCGGGUUGUAAAGCACUUUCAGUGAGGAAGAACGCCUGGUGGUUAAUACCCAUCAGGAAAGACAUCACUCACAGAAGAAGCACCGGCUAACUCCGUGCCAGCAGCCGCGGUAAUACGGAGGGUGCGAGCGUUAAUCGGAAUUACUGGGCGUAAAGCGCGCGUAGGUGGCUUGAUAAGCCGGUUGUGAAAGCCCCGGGCUCAACCUGGGAAUGGCAUCCGGAACUGUCAAGCUAGAGUGCAGGAGAGGAAGGUAGAAUUCCCGGUGUAGCGGUGAAAUGCGUAGAGAUCGGGAGGAAUACCAGUGGCGAAGGCGGCCUUCUGGACUGACACUGACACUGAGGUGCGAAAGCGUGGGUAGCAAACAGGAUUAGAUACCCGAGUAGUC